rnacentral:rRNA from 1 species
AUACAGGGGGUGCGAGCGUUAAUCGGAAUUACUGGGCGUAAAGAGUACGUAGGCGGUUGCUUAAGUCAGAUGUGAAAGCCCCGGGCUCAACCUGGGAACUGCAUUUGAAACUGAGUGACUAGAGUUUAAGAGAGGGGAGUAGAAUUCCGGGUGUAGCGGUGAAAUGCGUAGAGAUCCGGAGGAAUACCAGUGGCGAAGGCGGCUCCCUGGCUUAAAACUGACGCUGAGGUACGAAAGCGUGGGUAGCAAACAGGAUUAGAAACCCGUGUAGUCC